AACGAACGCUGGCGGCAUGCCUAACACAUGCAAGUCGAACGAGACCUUCGGGUCUAGUGGCGCACGGGUGCGUAACGCGUGGGAACCUGCCCUUAGGUUCGGAAUAACUCCCCGAAAGGGGUGCUAAUACCGGAUAAUGUCUUCGGACCAAAGAUUUAUCGCCUUUGGAUGGGCCCGCGUUGGAUUAGCUAGUUGGUAGGGUAAAAGCCUACCAAGGCGACGAUCCAUAGCUGGUCUGAGAGGAUGAUCAGCCACACUGGGACUGAGACACGGCCCAGACUCCUACGGGAGGCAGCAGUGGGGAAUAUUGGACAAUGGGGGAAAGCCUGAUCCAGCAAUGCCGCGUGAGUGAUGAAGGCCUUAGGGUUGUAAAGCUCUUUUACCCGAGAUGAUAAUGACAGUACCGGGAGAAUAAGCUCCGGCUAACUCCGUG
rnacentral:rRNA from 1 species